rnacentral:misc_RNA from 1 species
AAGUGCACUUAUAAAUCUCCUAAACAAUGCAUUGUGCCUCAUGUUUGCCACCUCUUCUGCACAAUAUUUAAAAAGCACUGGUCUUUCUUUGAGACACCGAACUGCUGUUCUCAGAAGGUCACCCACUUCAGGGUUAUCAACAUCACCAAGUCUCCUACACUCUGUCUGAACCCACCUGCAAAGGCGUUCAUAUGCUCCUUCUUGAUACAUGGCCAUCAUAUCCAUGAGCUCCAAA